AGCGGCGGACGGGUGAGUAACGCGUGGGUAACCUGCCCUGUACACACGGAUAACAUACCGAAAGGUAUGCUAAUACGAGAUAAUAUGCUUUUAUCGCAUGGUAGAAGUAUCAAAGCUUUUGCGGUACAGGAUGGACCCGCGUCUGAUUAGCUAGUUGGUAAGGUAACGGCUUACCAAGGCGACGAUCAGUAGCCGACCUGAGAGGGUGAUCGGCCACAUCGGAACUGAGACACGGUCCAAACUCCUACGGGAGGCAGCAGUGGGGAAUAUUGCACAAUGGGCGAAAGCCUGAUGCCGCAACGCCGCGUGAGCGAUGAAGGCCUUCGGGUCGUAAAGCUCUGUCCUCAGGGAAGAUAAUGACGGUACUUGAGGAGGAAGCCCCGGCUAACUACGUGCCAGCAGCCGCGGUAAUACGUAGGGGGCUAGCGUUAUCCGGAAUUACUGGGCGUAAAGGGUGCGUAGGUGGUUUCUUAAGUCAGAGGUGAAAGGCUACAGCUCAACCGUAGUAAGCCUUUGAAACUGGGAAACUUGAGUGCAGGAGAGGAGAGUGGAAUUCCUAGUGUAGCGGUGAAAUGCGUAGAUAUUAGGAGGAACACCAGUUGCGAAGGCGGCUCUCUGGACUGUAACUGACACUGAGGCACGAAAGCGUGGGGAGCAAACAGGAUUAGAUACCCUGGUAGUCCACGCCGUAAACGAUGAGUACUAGCUGU
rnacentral:rRNA from 1 species